GACGAACGCUGGCGGCGCGCCUAAUACAUGCAAGUAGGACGCAGUUGCGAACGGGUGAGUAACGCGUAGGUAACUACCUAUUAGAGGGGGAUAACUAUUGGAAACGAUAGCGAAUACCGCAUACUAGUAGAUGGAACUGCGGUGUAUUAGCUAGUAGGAAGGGUAAUGGCCUACCUAGGCAACGAUACAUAGCCGACCUGGGAAGGUGAUGUGCCACACUUGGACUGAGACACGGCCCAGACGCCUACGGGAGGCAGCAGUAGGGAAGCUGCGGCAAUGGGGGGAACCCUGACCGAGCAACGCCGCGGGAGUGAAGAAGGUUUUCGGAUCGUAAAUCUCUGUUGUUAAGGAAGCGGUACUUAACCAGAAAGGGACGGCUAACUACGUGCCAGCAGCCGCGGUAAUAC
rnacentral:rRNA from 1 species